rnacentral:rRNA from 1 species
UACGUAGGUGGCAAGCGUUGUCCGGAAUUAUUGGGCGUAAAGCGCGCGCAGGCGGUCCUUUAAGUCUGAUGUGAAAGCCCACGGCUCAACCGUGGAGGGUCAUUGGAAACUGGGGGACUUGAGUGCAGGAGAGAAGAGUGGAAUUCCACGUGUAGCGGUGAAAUGCGUAGAGAUGUGGAGGAACACCAGUGGCGAAGGCGACUCACUGGCCCGAUACUGACGCUGAGGCGCGAAAGCGUGGGGAGCAAACAGG